CUGCUGCCUCCCGUAGGAGUCUGGGCCGUAUCUCAGUCCCAAUGUGGCCGUUCAACCUCUCAGUCCGGCUACUGAUCGUCGACUUGGUAGGCCGUUACCCCACCAACUAUCUAAUCAGACGCGAGUCCAUCCUUAGGCGCCUCAGCUUUGGUAUAUCUACGAUGCCGUUAAUAUACUUUAUAUGGUAUUACCGUCCGUUUCCAGACGCUAUCCCUUUCCUAAGGGCAGGUUACUCACGCGUUACUCACCCGUCCGCCA
rnacentral:rRNA from 1 species